AAAAGGUCACUCAGAGUGGCUGCUUUCAAGGACCGGUUCCUUUGUGGAGGAAUGCAGUCAGUCCAAGUUCACAGGUCUUUAGGCUGAGAGGAACUGUGCUGAAGGAACUCUACUGACAGAGCUAUACCUGAGGAGCCUCCUGUGAGCCUGGGUCUGAUUGAGAUGACAUGAUCCUGCACUUUUAGAUGAUGCUGUAAUGGGAUGAGAAUUGCAGAGGUCUUAGAAUAAGGGGAAGCCAGCCACCAUGUAAUGAACAGCCCUAUAGAGAAUGCCAAAUGAUGAGUAACUGAGGCAAUAACCACAUGAAUAAACUUGGAAGUGGAUUCUCCAGUUCCGGGCAAGUCUUCAGAAAUCCUCAGCCCCAGCCGACACCUUGACUAUAAUGUCAUGAAUCAGUACUAUGCAGCGAAGCCAGUCUUGGAUUCCUGACCCUAGAAACUACGUGAGAUAAUGAAUGUUGUUUUAAGUUAAUACAUUUUGGAGUAAUUUUUAAUACAGCAGUAGAUAAUUAAUACACACCUACAAUGCAGUCAUUGUAUUUACAUAAGAUCUCACAAAAAAAGCAAUUUUUAAAUUUGCUGGGAUAGGUAGUUGAUGUCUCUAUUUUUAGAACAAGUGCUUUAUGCACAAAGGAGCAAAGAUGUCUCUUCCUUUUCCUUCUGUAUAAUCCUUUUGAUAGAAGCGAAAACUUAAAUCUGGCAGUAUUCCGAAUAGAUAUUGUUCACACUUUUCUUUUAUUUUAGGUAAUUCUAAGUAGACAAAAUCAACUACUUGAGAAUUUUCUUAGAUUUAAUUUAGAAACAAUGUCAGCUGAGUUUUUCAUAAAACUGGCUUUAAUUUUAGGAAUAUGAAUAUUCUUGGAAAUUAUCCAAAUCUCUAAGUAAUAAUCUUCCCAAUUUCUUUUAGUUUUUUGAAAGAGGAGCCUAGUAGGUUGGUGGAAGUUCUAUUCUUUUAGGUUUAGUUUUCGUGAAGUUAUCUUUAAGGUACCACAAUGGGCUCUAGACAUCCAGGAUAGAAAGUGUCACUCAUAACUUCCAUUCACCUAUGUUUCGUCUAUUUUUCUAAGCUCUUGUGUGAAGUUUGAUCUUGUAUUUUGCCCCUUUCUCAUGUAGAGAAUGUUGAAAACCAGUGAGUUUUUACAUAAUCCAGCUCUACCGUUUCCAUUCUCUGUCCACAGAGCACAUACACAAUAAUCACAAUUCAUCAUCUUCUCCAUCUCACAAUUGCCUUUCACCCUCAAGUUACUGCACUUUUCACGUUCUUCUUGUACCUAGAACCCACUGGUCCAUUCGACUGGACGUCUGUCUUUCUUCUCCCUUUUUGGAAGACAAGCUAUUCCUGUGUUUUCAAGCCCUCCUUUCUAGAACAAGCAAGAGCUUGUUCUUAGAGUUCUUGAAAGCAAGACACUCUCUGUGAGGAUACAAGUCUGGAAGCACUUAGUGAGAAACAAUUGGAGAUCUGUCUGUUCUGCUAGUGCAUUCCAUGGGGAUGUUACACUGUCUGGAAAGAAAGCUCUGUGUGGGCAACAGCCACUUGUACACAGACAACACAAACGGCACUGAACGUCACUUCGUUUACAUUAAACGUCUAGAGGAUCAACUGCAUUUGGAAAAAUAACAACAGACUGAGGCAGGUUAAUAAAAACCCAAAUAACCCUAAAGAUCUCUUAGUUGGUCAAGAAUUUUCUGCGGUCAGUUCAUGCAAUUUUGUUUCAUGGGAACAAAAGCCCCUAAAGGCCAAACUUCCACAAGAAAACUGUGAAUCCUCUCAGGAUAUAAUCCUGCAAUUGUUUCCUCUUAGCAACUUUCAAAUAUACAAUACAGUAUUGUUAACUGUAGUCGCCAUGCUGUACGUUACAUCCCCAGAAAUUCUUUAUCUUAUAACUGGAAGUUUGUACCUUUUGACCCCCUUCACCCAUUUUCCUCACUCCCUCCUCCCCUACCCUGCAAUUCUUUCCUGAGGAUUUUUAGAUAUUUUUUUAUAUUAGGAAAUAUAUGAUGGUGAUAUCAAUAUGUGACACCCCAGGCAUGAAUAAGUUCUUUGUCGUUUAUUAGUACUUGAACCUCCUUCCUGCCUUUGUUUCCUUUCUCCUACUUUUUGCUCCCACUUCUCUUUUCCUCCUUUUCUCUUGAUUACGCCAUCAUCCGGAAAAGGACCGUCAGUGGGAUCUGGUACUGGAUGCAGUCUGAGGGAUGCCCUGGUCAGGAGAGGCUGAGCAGGAAGGGAUGCGCAUUAAGUAGGCUGGUCGGUUCCUAGGCAACCAGGGGUGAGACAGGGGAUAAAUCUGAGAAGUCUCACAGGGGAAGCCACAGGACCUUGUUCCCAGCAGUUUGCUCUUGAAUCUUAGGAGAGCUGCCAUGAGGAGAAAUCCAGAGCUCUACGAUCAGUUCAGUACUGUGUGUGUGUUUUUUUUUUUAAGAUUUUAUUUUUUCCUUUUUCUCCCCAAAGGCCCCUGGUACAUAGCUGUAUAUUCUUAGUUGUGGGUCCUUCUAGUUAUGGCAUGUGGGACGCUGCCUCAGCGUGGUUUGAUGAGCAGUGCCAUGUCCGCGCCCAGGAUUCGAACCAAUGAAACACUGGGCCGCCUGCAGCGGAGCGCGCGAACUUAACCACUUGGCCACGGGGCCAGCCCCCCAGUGCUGUGUUUUUAAACUCUCGUCAAGUCUGAUUAAAUGUAUAUGGGACAGCCAUAUUGGAUAGGGACUAAAGGGCUCUUAGAGUUUCUGAUCAGGUUCCUUUUAUACGUGACUCCUCUAAGAGAAGAAUUUGCUGUGGGAAGGAUUCCCUUCGGGGUUGUCUUUGAUCAAGCUUUUGCAGCCAGAAGCAAUGAGGAGGGAACAGGGGUGACGGGAUGGAUACUGAGGCCCUGGCCACUGGUCUCUGAAGUUGGGGUUCCUCUGGGGAGGUUUGUCAGGCCCUGGCUUAUCACAGACUGGCAAUGGGAUGCCUGAAAAAGCCACUGGUGGGCUCCCAGGACUGCUUUUCAACAUAACAGAUAAUAACCCGAGUUACCAUUGCAAGAAGCAAGAACUUAGAGUUUUCUGAACUUAGCUGAGUUUGUCUGUAAGAAUCAAGACAAUGGUUCAGGGUGUGGCUCCAUUUUGGGUUUAACCUGCAGGCCAGAGGAGGAAACAAUGAAAGACUGCUUAUGUUUCUGUGGUUUGGCAGAGCUGGAGAAGAGGCCGUAGGAUAAAUCACUGAGUGCUCAUGUCAGAAUCUCUGCUGUCUGGUUGGCCUGGUUACUUUUGAGCUCCCCUGGCCCAGAGGCGGGCGGUAGACAAUCGAAGCUUGUCCUUGGAUAAUAACAGCCACUAUUUAUUCAGUGCAUCCUAUCUGCUAGAUGACAUAUUAGGUGCUUUACACACACAACCUUGACAAUCCUUAGAGCUAAUGGUCUUCCCAUUUGUGAAAUCAAAGUCAGGCUAUUCAGAGAAAUUUAGUGGUUUGUUCAACAUCAGGUUUUUAGUAAGUGGUCAAAAUUUCAACUCUGGUAUACAUUACUUUUGCUAUAACGUCAUGUGCAUUCCUAAAAAACUCUCACAGUUGGCAAAAUAGUGGACCUAAAUAAUAGGGCUUAUGGGAGAAAUGGGAUUGGUGCUAAAACACUUUAUAAUUAGAAAUUUAAAAAACCAAUAACAGUACAAACAGAAAUACGAGCACAUCUGAAUCUCUCCCAGCGUUUGCACCUCGCAUCACAGACGGUCCCCUGCAGCCUUGCAUCAUGGGACUCAGCCUUCUUCUAGGGGUGCAGGACCUUGGGGCAUUCACUGCCAGUACAGAACCCUUGCAUCAACGAUAGUAAUCUGACCCAAGGUUUUAAUACAGAGGGAUGCAUCUUCAAAGCAUCUUCAUCAGCGCUCACUGCUUCACCAGAUAGUUUAAUAUUAUGGAAAACUUAGUGACUUCAAGAACCACUACUUCAUUGAAGGCCAUUGUGUAGACAUACCUGUUUUUCCCCAAAGUCUUCAUAUACUUCUAAGACUUUCUCCCUAAAUGUAAGAAAACUUGCCCUGAUUGCCUCAAUUGAUGUGUUCACCAACACAUCACCAACAUAACUUGUGCAUCACAUUCUUCACUCCCCAAAUUGCCGGUCACCGAUGAGCUAUGUUGCAUCAAUGGAAACAAGUGCUGUUUCAGAUCCAAAAAUCCCAUUUUGAAGCCCCGUGUGAUUUCUUUCCUGUUCUAGAGAGGCCUCGUUGUCUUUGAGGGGAGUUUACACCAGCUGCAGCAUUUCUAACUAAAGACUGCUUUUUUUCUUCUGAUAUAAUCUCCAUGUCAUGAUCAGACAUAACCAGACUGACAGUGGUUUCUUCAUUUCCCCUAAUACCCACCCCAUGUUAAAAUUUUUUGAUAGUCUCAAACAUCUAGUUUGUUCAAACCAGGAUCCAAACAAGGCCUGUUCACUGCCUUUGGUUGUUAUAUCUACUAUGUCUUUUAUUCUAUACCCUGUACCCCUUUUUAAUACAAUUCGUUCAUUGGAGAAACCAGUCCUUUAUAUCACAGAGUAUUCCACAUUUUGAAUUUGGCUGAUUGCUUUCUCAUGAUGUUUAAAUAGUUCCUCUAUUCUCCGCAUUUAUUACCUAUAAACUGGUUGUUAGAUCUUGAAACUUGAUUUAGGUUCAGGUUCAAUUUUAUUGGUAAGCAUACUUCAUAAAUGGAGCUUUAUAGUUCCUCUUGCCUCAGAUCUUAAAGUUUAAUGUUGAGGCCUCAUUUUAGUGAUGCUGAGAUUGAUCAGUGUGUUAAGAGGUGGCAGCUGGAUCCCCCUAUUAUAAAGUCCCCAGAUCGUUUCCUAGAUCCAUUGUUUCACUGAGAUUGAAAAAUGGGGAUUUUCUAAGUUUAUCAGAACUUUGUGUCUAUUAGCUGGAGUUCUUUUUGUGACGAACUUGGCCUUAUCAGCUCUGGGAUAAGCCGAAACACAGCUCAGGAAAGUUGAAGUCUUGAUUCUUCCAUCAGUUUUGAGAGUAAAGAGUUGUAACAUCACAGGCUCAGAGGGUGACCAGUGAGUCUUUCCAUGAAUUUCAUUGCAAACUAUGGAAUUUUUAUAUAUUGAUGUUUCAAGCACUGAAGUCAUUCCUUUCUGCUCACAUUGUCCCAACUUGGCCAACAGGAGCCUUUUCAGCUUAGUUCUUGUGUACUUUUGACAUGACCUCUUUAGAGUUUAUUGUUUCCUUGCUUUCUGGCUCAAAAUCAUGUUUGACUCAUUUUAUAAAUGUCCUGAUGUGGACCUGAAAUAAACUGUUUCUCAAAAGAAGCUUCUUUUAGUGGAGAAUGGUAUUUAAAGAUCACAUUUUGGUCAUUAAAGGGGAUUUUACUCCUGAACAAGAGCUGGAUGCAAUUAGACAUAGGUUUUCUAACUGGACUAAUAUUUAUAAAACUUUUCCAUUGCAAUUUCUUCAAGAGAAAAUAUUCUUAUUUUAAAUCUAAACUCAGUAGUCUUGACUCCAUUUUCCCUGUAAAAAAUGUAUUUUUUUUCCUGCUUCUUUGAUAACAUGAAUCUUAGGAAUACACUUACUUAAUUUAGCCAAAUUGAUAGAGAAGCAGACUGGUGGACAUACUAGGAAACUACCCUAAGUAUCUCAAAAUGCCCAACUAUGAAAUUUUGAACUCAGAAGUUAUGUUUGAAAAUUUGUUUUUGUUUUUGAAUAUUAACACAUUUAAAAGAGUAAACAUUUGUUCUUUUUUUGGUUGAAACAUUACUAUAUUUUUCUUUUUAUAGGUUAUUUUAGCUUGAUGGGCAUUAACUGUUUGGUUUUGUCCUUGUUUCAGAAAUCUGUCCAUUGUAUCUGUGGUAGUCAUUUGCAAUCCUUCACAUUAACAUAUGAAAAAAUACAACUACAACUUUACUCUAACCACAUGUUGUGCAACUUCAAAUCAGAGCAUUUUUAUUACAACAAAUUAACAAAGACUUAAAAAAUCAUAUUCUGUUCCAGGGAGAUUUAAAUGGCAGUCUCACUUUCUAGGCCUGCCCUGCUAUCAUGAUUCUGGGAUUUGGUUCUUUUCUACAUGGGGCAGCUUCUAUCUCCUUCCUUCCCCAAGUAUCAGAGCCGCUCACCCACCCGAAGGCCUCUCUUCUGACCUGCCAGGUGGGAGCAGAUAAUAAAUAUAUUCUGCAUAGAAUUUAGGGUUCCACUAAUUCUUUCUUGAAAGGGCCGCAUAGUAAAUAUUUUAGCCUCUGUGGGCUAAGCAACAAAAUACUCGAGAUAUUUUGUAGCAACUUACAUAAACAUUUAAAAUGUAACCAUUAAAAAUGUAAAAACCAUCUUUAGCUUGCAGGGCUGUACAUGGAAUGAGUGGCAGCCUAGACUUCGCCCGCGGGCCGCAGUUUGCCAACCCCUGGCUAGAUUCUCUUGUAAGAAAGGACUCAUUGCCCAGCGGCAAGGAGUAUUAUCUAAUGGCCACUAGCAGUUGGCUUCCUCCUGGUCCAUCUCAACUUGGAGCUCAGGUCCUCGCGCUAUUCUUGGGGCAGUCCCCAGUCAAUGACUGAACGAGGUCUACCCUCCCACUGACAGCCAGCUAGGAAAAGGGACCUGCGUCCUCUAGCUGCAAGGAACUGAAUUGGGCCAAUGACUUGAAUGAGCUAGGAAGUGAGUUCUUCCCCAGAGCCUGUAUAUAAGAGCCCAGCUUCCAUCUUGAUGUGGGCCUUCUGAGAUGCUGAGCAGAGAGCCAGCCAAACUCUAACAGGCUUCUGAACUACAGAACCAUGAGAUAAUAAUUGGGUGUUAUUUUAAGCCACUGUUUGUGGUAAUUUGUUAUACAGCAAUUAGAGAAUGAAUACACUGGGAAUUGCUGUUUGCAAGGGGUGGCCCCUGUAACAGGGAGCAGAUGGGAGAAAGACAAAGAACGGAUCGGAGAGCAAGGAAGCCAAUGACCAGACAGACCAUAUCACAAUUCUGUGAAUUUAUCCUUCAGCUCAAACGCUUUGGCAUAUAUGGAUCACUCUAUGUUUUCUCAGUGCCUAUAAAGAUUUCAUCAACUAUUGAGGGAGUCUUAAUUUGUGAUGACCACAGGGAUGUUAGAAUUUCAGCUGAUUACUGUUAGUCUUAUUGGAAAAGGACUUUAUUAACUGAUGAUGGUCAUGAAAGCUUUUUUCUUUUUCAGACUGGUUCUCUCCCUCUGCUUUGGUGUUUGUAAUUGAGGAACAGCUAUUAACAGGUGAGGGCUGCAGAGAAGAGCCCAGGGCCAUACAGAUGAAUAGCAGUAAGGAUUCACAACAGGAAGCUUGGUUGACAGCUGCUGCUACGUGCAGCAAAUACCUGUGACAGUACGCAGAGAGUGACAGAGACCUCCAAAGCUGCCCUUAAGGAUAACAAAAGGCCAGCCCCCAAAUACUGCUUAUAAAAAUCCAAACAAAACCCAGGAGUCUCACCACCCAGCUUUUAAAAAUCCAUUAGUUCUUCCAGGCAGAAGCACUUGCAGGAGUAAAAUGGCUUAUUUCAGUGAAAGCCGUGUGAUAAUGGAGCAAAGCUGCAAGAUCUUGGGAAUCAAAGAUUGGUGAAACUAACAGCUGAAACAGAAAAGAGAUACCCCAUUUGAAUGCAUUUUGAGCGCUCCUGUGAGGAGUGCAAUCUAAUUGUGGUGUAACUGCCAGCUACUGAUCAUAGUUUUUGUUCCUAUGGUUUGUGCUACCUGAGGUCUGUGUCUACGCGUGUGAGAACUGUAUGGGUGACCAGAGCUGGUCAGGACACCUCUGCAGCAAUAAUCAAAGGUCAGAAGGCAGAUGGAGCUGAAUAUAUUGUGUAGCAGAAGGUGCAGCAUUCAAUUUCCCUGAUAACCAGUUCCAGCUUAAUUGCACAGAAUUCCAAGACUUUGUUAAUGAAACACAGCAUAGAGGGUUUAUGCUAGGAAUAGCAUUACAUUGAUUACCUAGUUUCAGAGUAAGGAAUUAAAGGGAAAAAAACCUUGGGAUUUAUCCUGCUUUUACUGUAGUAACUGUAGACAGGAAAAAGAAAUAGUCUCUGUCAUUAAAGCUCUUAUUUACAGAACACUAGCUAGUAAAUUUAGAAGUAAUGAUAGAAAUAGAAAAUAAUCAGUUUGGAAGACAUCAUGAAAUAAUUGCUCCAGGCAAGAAUCAAUGAGGAGGGCUAACACUAUUAGCAGAACUGAUGAGUUGACAGAGAACUAGAUAUUCACAUGGUACCAAAGUAUCAUCCCCACAGGUUACUUGCUAAUAGCAAGUAACCAUUUGCAAUAGAGAAAUAAAGCUAUUAUCACUUGGUAACCUAACUUACCAUUCAAUUAUCCCACUGUUAAUGGUGUUGUAUGACUCAGAGAUAAUGUCUAAGAAAUUAUAUGUCAUCACCUGUAUUCUGACCAACAAUGUUUAAAAUGGAAGCUGGAUCUGAAGGCUUGAUUAGAUUCAAGCUAAAGGAAAUACAAAGCAGAGAAGAACAAAUUAAGUGACAUUCUGAGGAAACAAUUGGGUACAUUCAGAAUGUGGGACUUCUAUAAGACAGUUGGUCUGGUCUCAAAAAAAACGUCAAUGGCAAGAAAAAAAAGAGGAGUUGCUAGAUUAAAAGACUAAGGAGGAAGAACCAAGUCCAAUGCAGGAUCCUUGACCAGAUUUUGGUUUUUUGAAAAAGCUUCAGAAACACAUUGGGCCAAUGGUGAACAUUGGAAUAUGGAUUGUUCAAAUAUCAGGCAGGGUCAUUGCAGGAAACAGAUGAAAAACUCAAAAGAACUCAAUCAUGAAGUAUUUAAUGAAGAGACUAUGGAGAGGUGUGGUCAGGGCUAGAGACACCAACAGGGGAUGCUGAGGUACCCAGGAUUAGUAGGGAAGCCCUCACCACACAUGGACCUGAUGGAGCAGGCAUGGGGGCAGUUAUGAGAGCUCAGUCAUGUGUACCCAAUGCUAGACCAGCAACCUGGAAGGGAGGAGCAGAGAAAAAGUAUCCCAGCCUCUCUCCUUCUGUUCUCAUCCUUUCCUGGUGCUCCCUGAUGGCUUCUGAUGCCUGUGGGUACCUCCCAUUGGCUGAAUCCAAUUGGACGCCUGUCUAUGGCAGACUGUAUUAGUUAGCCUCUUGGGGCUCAGAGUGCAGCAGAGAAGACAGAUAAUACAUCUAAAGGUGGGGAGCAAAGGGACAAUAAAGCACAGUUGGGUAGUGGAGUAGAUUAGAGAAUUCUUGUUGACUGUUAGGUAUGAUAAUGGUAUUGUGGUUACAUAAGAGAAUGUCCUUAGGUUUUAUUUAUUUUUGAAAAAUACUUGUUGAAGUAUUAAGGGAUGAAAUGUCAUGAUGUCUCAUUUAUUUUGAAAUGGUUCAGCAAGAAAGAUAGAAAGACAAGUAUAUAGAAUACAUACAUGAAGCAAAUAUGGAAACAAGCUUAUAGGAUUUCCGUCUUCAUUGCCACCAGCUUUGUGCAUCAGGCUUUAAUUCUGUUUCAACUAAAGAAAUAGUCCUUUCUCCCUUUUCCUAAACUCAGUAGCUGGCACAUGGUAAAUGCCAAAAAUUGAAUUCUGACCCAUUCACCCUUUCUCAGUGAUAAUCAUAUUUCCCGACUGCCCUAUGCACACUUCUGUUAAAAAGAAACUUAUCACAUUGUUUUAUUUUGUCUCUCUUGCAAGCCGUGAGUUCCCUGAUAGCAAGGGUUUUGUCUUAUUAAUUCUUGAGCACCUACUGUGUGCCUCAUAUUAUUCUACAAAAUAUGUUAUGAUUUGGUUCUAUCACUCACAAAAGAAAUGCUAUGAGAAGUGACAAGACAGAGAGGCUAGAAAAAGUAAGAAUAGAAGUUAUAUCAGGGGGUAGAGCCUUGCUAUCAACUGAAUGUUUGUGUGUCCCCCUGCCCCUGCAAAUUCAUAUGUUGCGGCCCUAAUCCUCAAUGUGAUGAUAUUUGGACGUGGGGCCUUUGGGAGGUAGUUAGAUCCUGAGGGUGGAGCCCUCAUGAUGGGAUGAGUGCCCUUAUGAGAAGAAGCAUGAGAUGGAUAAUCUCUCUUUCUGCCAUACGAGGACACAGCAAGAAGGCAGCUAUCUGCGAAUCAGGAUGCGUGCUGUCACCAGACACAUGAUUUGCCAGCACCUUGAUCUUGGACCUCCCAGCUUCCAGAACAGUGAGAAAUACAUUUGUUGUUUAAGCCACCCAAUCUAUGGUAUUUUGUUAUAGCAGCUUGACUAAGACAAGCCUGACCAAAGGGUCAAAAAUGACCUUCAGAAAGAGAGGGGAAGGUAAAGGACAGGGUGUCGGAGGAAGAGAGGAUGAAGGGUAAAGCUUGACUAGAUGGCAGACCCUCAGUGAAGUUCAGUCCAGGGUGAGUGAGAGGUCCUGGGGUGAGGAACGGCAAGUAGCAGCAGGGCCGCGGUGGGGCUGAGGUCCCCAGGAGGUCUGGGAUGUCCUCAAGUGAGGAGGAGCCAGGUGUGCUUAGCCAUCCAGACCAGUUAGCUCGUAGGCAGAAGUGGGGGCCGGAAGUGCUCAGGCCUUACAGUCCAGGGAUCAAAACAAGCAGAUAGAAAAGGCAGAGUGCAGAAUCCAGACAGGGAUGCUGGCAACAAGAUCUGAGACUCUGUACAGUCAGAUUUGAGAGGAGGCAAACUAUGGAUUGAUGUAGAUGAUCAUUUCCGGAAAUUCUACUUAGGGACUUACUCUGAACAUGUAUAGCAUGGUAUCACUUCAAAGUCAUUUGUGUUAUUUUGGAUGCAUGCAUGAUAAAGGCUAAUGCUUAUUGAGCACUUAGCGUGUGCCAGUCACUCUUUUCUGUAUAUAACAUGCAACCCAUUUGAACUCACACUAACCCCGUGAGGGUAGGUACUAUCAUUAUGCCUGUGUUACAGAUGAAGGAAGAGAGAGGUAAGAGUAACUUCUCUAAGACCGAUCCUCUACAGGCUGACUUUAUGGAAAAAAUGAGCUAGUUUACUGCAAUGGUCCAUGGAAACUGACCAGGACUGAUUGCCUUAAACCCUGGGCCAUAGCCAAACACAAGGCUUGCCCUCUACACCAUUCUUCUUACCAGGGAGUGGCUGGUGCUUCCCCAACCAUGAAUGUUAAGGUAAGGGAUCCUGCUGGUAGCUCGUAUCCCAGCUGUCUGAUCUUGCAGACAGAAGGACUGGCGUUCCGCCCUCAACCACCCACGCUGAGAUGGAAGGAUAGGGCUGGAGGCAAGACCUACCACCACAUCGCUGUUGUAUUCCAGCCUCUGAUGACACCAGAGAGGAGCCUGGGCUUUCCUAAUCAUGCAGCUUCAAAGCUCCACAACCCAAGGGUAGAGGGCCCCUCUCCUGAAGUCCACCAUCCAGAACUGCCAGAUUGCUGUGUGCUGUCCUAGAAUGAGUAACCGGAGACCCACAGACCUGGUUGUUUUCUUCCCUCCAUUAGGGUUUCCCAGUAAAUGCCACUUCAGAAGGUUGGCCAUUUGCCCUUAUUUGCAUGAUUAGUUACUAAAGUAUGUAGAGGAACUUUUGAAGGUCAGGCAGCCAGUGAGCGAUAGAACUGAGAUUUGAACUCAGACAGUCCAGAUGCUACCAUGUCUUUGCAUGGUGUCUAGUGGGUGGGUACGCUUUUGUGUCCUAUGUCUCUGCAUUUCUCCAUCAUGUCUAACACAGAGACUUGCACAUACAUUCUCUCUAAAUAUUUGAAUUACUGUAACAGUGACGUGAAAUAACAAGGAAGGGAGACAGCACUGAUUUAAUCAGAAAUCUUAUAGUUAUAAAACUAGCCCAGCAAAUUCUCUACACACAGGAUACGAAUGCUUUGUAUUUAAUUGCUAAAGUGUUUUGAAGUUGAAUUUAAGUUAAUAAUACUAUUGCAUCUGUCAGCUAAAUCAAAGAGCCAGUAAACAACCAACCCUAUUUUCCAAUCAAGAGGGAAUAAUCCUUUAAGGAAUACAGAGGGCUUCAGAGAGCAUGUGAUCAACAUUAAAUUGUGUGAUAGACUCUUACAGCCUCAAGAGAUAAGGCAAGAGAUAAAGAUAGAAAUGGAGUAGUUGGCAUAAGACCUCUCACAAAUGGGUCCCUAAGUGGAUUUAGGGGAAAGGAUAGGAUUUGGAUAGAGGAAAAGAAGAGAAAAAUUGCCUACAGGUAUAAUGAAAAGCACAGAUACAGAAAUGAACACAGAAGAUAUUGCAGGCCAGUGAAAAAGGAUCAUGCUCUAAAUUACGCGAUGGAAACAGUGAGAGAAGUUAGAAAAACAUUAUGGGGCAUAUUAUAUGCUUCCAAACAUUGUUGGUGGGCACUUGAGCUAGAUAGUAACAUAGUGUUCACAGGUGGGAGAGAGGCGGAAUGAAAGAAAGCUGUGCUUUGCAAAAAUUAAUCUGGUAGCAGGGUUUAAAUGGAUCAGAAGGAACACCAAUUAGAAGGUUAUUUGUGGAUUUCCAGCAGCAUGACAAACUGAGCUGAUGCAGACAGAUGUUCCUCCCACUACGAACACUCAGAAUUAUGGGAUCAAAUAUUAAUGGGUGAUGGGCAAUGAUGGUAAAACAGAACAAUAUGAUAGAUAAUGCUAAGAACGGGAGUUGGGAGAAUCAGAUUUAAGAUUCUAAGGUCCUUAAAUGUAACAUGUACACUGGCCUGAAAAUGCAGUACUAAAAGAAUAGGAAGAAAACACAUGUUUCCAACCCAGCCGCAAGAAUAAAGAAAAUAAUCCAAGUGGAAGGAAGGAAUAGUGUCCCUUGGAACACAACAACAGAAUAUAAUACGAACGGUACUUCUUAUAUGUAAUAUAAGUAUUAAGCCUAGGGUAGAAUGGACACAUCGAUUUCAGAAUAGUGGUUUAUUCUGAAAUAAUAAAUUAUGUCUCAAGAUUAUGUUAAACACAGGGAGGGAGGGAAGCAAAUGGAACUGGAAGAGAGUUCAAAAAGGCUUCAACUCUAUCUGUACUGUUUUUUGUUCCUUGAAAAUACCUGACGCAAAUACAUAUAUCUCCUUAUUAAAACUUGGGAUGAGUACAUAGAUGUGUAUGUUCUUUAAUUUGACGUUGUAUAAUAAAAUAUCUGAAAAGCUUUUAAAGUAAGUGAAGCCUGAGGUGAAGGGUCUAGUUUGAUGUUGAACAAGAGCUUUCUAAUGUUACUCUCAGCACCUCCACCCCCGGCAGGAACCCCCUAAAUAGUAUCCAUGAAGCUGGUGUGGCAACAAGAUCUGAGGGUUCAAAUUCACGAGUCUCAGAAGGGUGUACCUUCUCACUUUUGUUAUUAAGGGUUUACGAUUCUACACGACAAAAGCUGCAGCCCCUCUCUGUAGGGGAAGACGCAGGUACCGGGUUUGUUCCGCAAGCUGUUUAUGGUGCCCUCUAGUGGCAGAGCUCACUUUUUUGUGUGUUGAAGGUUUACUUUGUAUAUAUUUUCCAACAUAUUAAUGAAACAUAUAUCGGAUUUUGUUUUUAUUUAUUUUUUAAAGAUUGGCACCUGAGCUAACAACUGUUGCCAAUCUUUUCCUUUUUUUUUCUGCUUUUUCUCCCCAAAUCCACCCAGCACACAGUUGCACAUUUCAGCUGGGGGGUCCCUCCAGUUGUGGCAGGUGGGACACCGCCAUAGCACGGCCUAAUGAGUGGUGCCAUGUCUGCACCCAGGAUUUGAACUGGCGAAACCCUGGGCUGCUGAAUCGGAGCACACAAAUUUAACCACUUGGCCAUGGGGCCAGCCCCAAGGAUUUUGUUUUUAUUAUUAAGCAAAUACAAGCAAUUCCAGAGUAACUGGCUUUUUAAUUUUAU
rnacentral:lncRNA from 1 species